UAAGUCGUAACAAGGUAACACUAGGGUUUGAUCAUGGCUCAGAUUGAACGCUGGCGGCACGCUUUACACAUGCAAGUCGAGCGGUCAAAAUGAGGGGGCUUGCCCCCGAAAGACGAGCGGCGGACGGGUGAGUAACGCAUGGGAAUGCGCCCAGUAGUGGGGGACAACCCUGGGAAACCAGGGCUAAUACCGCAUGUUUUCCACGGAACAAAGCGGGGGACUUCUUCGGAAACCUCGCGCUAUUGGAGCAGCCCAUGUCCGAUUAGCUUGUUGGCGGGGUAACGGCCCACCAAGGCGACGAUCGGUAGCUGGUCUGAGAGGAUGAUCAGCCACACCGGGACUGAGACACGGCCCGGAUUCCUACGGGAGGCAGCAGUGGGGAAUAUUGGACAAUGGGGGC
rnacentral:rRNA from 1 species